ensembl:lncRNA
CUUUCCUUUUCCUUUCCUUUCCUUUCCUUUCCUUUCCUUUCCUUUCCUUUCCUUUCCUUUCCUUUCCUCUUUCAUUUCCCUCCUUCCCUUCCCUCCAAACAUUUCCCUGCACCGUGGAGAUGCCUCAGUGACUUCACUCCUUUGCUAACCGGAUUCAAAACCAUUCUGGUUUUCCUUUCCCAGUGGAAAAGCAGGACCCAAAGGAUGGGAAGUCGGGCAUCUCCCUAAAAAUCGCUUCGGUUUUGCCGGGACUCCGCUACGCCCUACGGAGAGCAGCCAGCUCCUCCUGGCACGCCUCGGGCAUCCAGGAGCACCUCCAGGAAUUUGCAGAACUCCAGGAAAACUCCGAGCCCGGCCCCGGGCAGGGCAGUGACGUUCCCGUCGCUCCCAUUCCCUCUCCCUGCCAGGAUGGGGCCGCCGGCCCUUCCCAGAAGCUCUCGGAGCCGUCCCUGGCCCAGCUGCGCCGGUACCUCUGCGACCCCGGCAGCUUCACCCUGGGCGUCUCGGCAGCCUUGCAGUGUCUCACCGGGGCUGAUCCUGGGAAUUCCUCCUCCUCCUCCUCCUCCUCAGUGUCCCCAGACCGCGCUCCUGCCACCAGGACCCUGCGGGAUAAGAGAGACCUUCCCAGUCCUGCUCCGCAGAGAUUCCCAAAAAGCGUCACCUCUCCCACCAAGCCCUGGGGCCGGGAGCUGAGGAGGAAAUCCAGCAGGAUCCUCGGGAAGAGCGUGCCACCCCUCAAGGCACAAACACCUCCUGGGGAGAGCAGCAGCAGGAGCAGGGAGGCGGCCAAGAGAAAAGCCAACAUCGCUUCCUCUUGUCCCAAAAAAUCGGGAUCCACGGGCAGCUCCAACGAGCCCAUGCUGAAAUUGGCCAAUUUGCAGUUGCCACAUGGAAGGAAAAGAGGUGCAGAGGUCCUGGCUGCAGAAAUUGUCCACAAACCUCAGUGUGAACGUGCUGAGAAGGAAAUCUCAGCUCCUGGUAGUCCUGGCGUGGAGGCAAAGAGGCCAAAAACCCUGGAAAACCUGGACUCCAAGAGGGUUCCUGCCACGGAGAGUGGCACAAAGCCAGGGAAGAGCAAAAUGCAGAAGAACGUGGAAAACAGAGCGCCAGAACCUCCGGAGAAGCUGCAGGAAGGGAGCGGUGAGGAGACAUUCCCUUGGGAAAAAAUUCCUUUCAGAGCUGAGCCAUCCAAUGGCAGGGAUGG